AGCGCAGGCGGGACUGCAAGUUGGAUGUGAAAUGCCGCAGCUUAACUGCGGAGCUGCAUCCAAAACUGUAGUUCUUGAGUGGAGUAGAGGCAAGCGGAAUUCCGAGUGUAGCGGUGAAAUGCGUAGAUAUUCGGAGGAACACCAGUGGCGAAGGCGGCUUGCUGGGCUCUAACUGACGCUGAGGCUCGAAAGUGUGGGGAGCAAACA
rnacentral:rRNA from 1 species